CACGUAGCCCUGCCACAGGGCCAGCGUCUGGCCAGUCCCCCGGACGGCCGCCACCACCUCCAGCCUCGCCUCCUCCCACCUGCAGCCACCGGGACCGAGAGAAGGAUCAGCAUGGAAGCGCUGUCGGCCAGCCCACACCACGUCUCCAGUGGCCCUCGGACCCCCGCCAGCCACUCCCCCAGAGAUUGGCUCUCGCUCUGCAGUCUAUCGAAGGGGGGGAGAGGGGGAGAGACUCAGACAUUAAGCACUCAGCCAGCAGAGUGGACCAAGGGGGCAAAACUAUGGAACCUCUUGCCCACUAGUCUAAAACUAGAGACUAACAGCAACACUAUUAACAGAGAACUUAAACAACGGCUCAAAUCAAAUCAACAGUGCUCACACAAAUAAUUUACAACUGGUUUAUUGUUUGAUCAUGCUGCCUUUGUUUUUCUCUACGUAGCCUAUAUAUAUAUAUAUAUUUGACUCAUUAUAUUGCUGCUCUGUACUCUACUGUAUACUGCAUUUUUACUCUUUUUAAUUAUCACUAUCAGUUUUUUAUCAGUAUUUGAUCUUGUUUCUGUCUUGUUUAGUUUCUUUUGUUGUUUUCAAAAAGCCUCCUGUGGACAGGUGUUGUAAACUAGCAUUUAUGCUAAUACACUGUAAACAAUGCAUCUGGUUCGUCCAAUGACAUUGUCAUGUCCAAAUAAAAUCUACUAUAACCUAC